AGUUUUAUAGGAUAAAAAGAAUCUAUUAUUUUUAGGAAAUAAAGAAAUAUUUAAUAUAUUUAAACUA
rnacentral:tRNA from 1 species